rnacentral:rRNA from 1 species
CCUACGGGAGGCAGCAGUAGGGAAUAUUGCUCAAUGGGGGAAACCCUGAAGCAGCAACGCCGCGUGGAGGAUGAAGGUUUUCGGAUUGUAAACUCCUUUUGUUAGAGAAGAUAAUGACGGUAUCUAACGAAUAAGCACCGGCUAACUCCGUGCCAGCAGCCGCGGUAAUACGGAGGGUGCAAGCGUUACUCGGAAUCACGGGGCGUAAAGCGCGCGUAGGCGGGAUAGCAAGUCAGAUGUGAAAUCCUAUGGCUUAACCAUAGAACUGCAUUUGAAACUGUUAUUCUAGAGUAUGGGAGAGGUAGGUGGACUUCUUGGUGUAGGGGUAAAAUCCGUAGAGAUCAAGAGGAAUACUCAUUGCGAAGGCGACCUGCUAGAACAUAACUGACGCUGAUGCGCGAAAGCGUGGGGAGCAAACAGGAUUAGAUACCCGGGUAGUC